GACGAACGCUGGCGGCGUGCUUAACACAUGCAAGUCGAACGGAAAGGCCCUGCUUUUGUGGGGUGCUCGAGUCGCGAACGGGUGUGUAACACGUGAGUAACCUUCCCUUGACUUUGGGAUAACCUCAGGAAACUGGGGCUAAUACCGGAGUGGUGCGCCUGAUGGAUGGUGGGGGUUGGAAAGUAUCGGCGGUGGGGGAUGGACGCGCGGCUUAUGAGCUUGUUGGUGGGGUAGUGGCUUACCAAGGCUUCGACGGCUCGCCGGCGUGGGAGGGGGGCCGGCGACAAUGGGACUAAGAGACGGCGCAGACUCCAACGGGAGGCAGCGGGGGGGAAUAUGGCCCAGUGGGCGGAAGCCUGAGGCGGCAGCGCCGGGAGCGGGAUGACGGCCUUCGUGUUAUGAACCGCUGUCGCCUGUGACGAAGCGUUAGUGACGGUAAUGGGUAAAGAAGCACCGGCUAACUACGUG
rnacentral:rRNA from 1 species